AAAUCAACCGAGAUUCCCCCAGUAGCGGCGAGCGAACGGGGAGCAGCCCGGAGUCUGAAUCAGCUUGUGUGUUAGUGGAAGCGUCUGGAAAGUCGCAGGGUACAGGGUGAUACUCCCGUACACUAAAACACACAGGUUGUGAACUCGAAGAGUAGGGCGGGACACGUGGUAUCCUGUCUGAAUAUGGGGGGACCAUCCUCCAAGGCUAAAUACUCCUGACUGACCGAUAGUGAACCAGUACCGUGAGGGAAAGGCGAAAAGAACCCCGGCGAGGGGAGUGAAAAAGAACCUGAAACCGUGUACGUACAAGCAGUAGGAGCCUCUUUAUGGGGUGACUGCGUACCUUUUGUAUAAUGGGUCAGCGACUUAUAUUCUGUAGCAAGGUUAACCGUAUAGGGGAGCCGCAGGGAAACCGAGUCUUAACUGGGCGUUAAGUUGCAGGGUAUAGACCCGAAACCCGGUGAUCUAGCCAUGGGCAGGUUGAAGGUUGGGUAACACUAACUGGAGGACCGAACCGACUAAUGUUGAAAAAUUAGCGGAUGACUUGUGGCUGGGGGUGAAAGGCCAAUCAAACCGGGAGAUAGCUGGUUCUCCCCGAAAGCUAUUUAGGUAGCGCCUCGUGAACUCAUCUUCGGGGGUAGAGCACUGUUUCGGCUAGGGGGUCAUCCCGACUUACCAACCCGAUGCAAACUACGAAUACCGAAGAAUGUUAUCACGGGAGACACACGGCGGGUGCUAACGUCCGUCGUGAAGAGGGAAACAACCCAGACCGCCAGCUAAGGUCCCAAAGUCAUGGUUAAGUGGGAAACGAUGUGGGAAGGCCCAGACAGCCAGGAUGUUGGCUUAGAAGCAGCCAUCAUUUAAAGAAAGCGUAAUAGCUCACUGGUCGAGUCGGCCUGCGCGGAAGAUGUAACGGGGCUAAACCAUGCACCGAAGCUGCGGCAGCGACACUAUGUGUUGUUGGGUAGGGGAGCGUUCUGUAAGCCGUUGAAGGUGGCCUGUGAGGGUUGCUGGAGGUAUCAGAAGUGCGAAUGCUGACAUAAGUAACGAUAAUGCGGGUGAAAAACCCGCACGCCGGAAGACCAAGGGUUCCUGUCCAACGUUAAUCGGGGCAGGGUGAGUCGACCCCUAAGGCGAGGCCGAAAGGCGUAGUCGAUGGGAAACAGGUUAAUAUUCCUGUACUCGGUGUUACUGCGAAGGGGGGACGGAGAAGGCUAUGUUGGCCGGGCGACGGUUGUCCCGGUUUAAGCAUGUAGGCGGAUGUUCCAGGUAAAUCCGGAACGUUACUAACGCUGAGGUGUGAUGACGAGGCACUACGGUGCUGAAGUGACAAAUGCCCUGCUUCCAGGAAAAGCCUCUAAGCAUCAGGUAACAUCAAAUCGUACCCCAAACCGACACAGGUGGUCAGGUAGAGAAUACCAAGGCGCUUGAGAGAACUCGGGUGAAGGAACUAGGCAAAAUGGUGCCGUAACUUCGGGAGAAGGCACGCUGAUAUGUAGGUGAAGUGGUUUACCCAUGGAGCUGAAAUCAGUCGAAGAUACCAGCUGGCUGCAACUGUUUAUUAAAAACACAGCACUGUGCAAACACGAAAGUGGACGUAUACGGUGUGACGCCUGCCCGGUGCCGGAAGGUUAAUUGAUGGGGUUAUCCGUAAGGAGAAGCUCUUGAUCGAAGCCCCGGUAAACGGCGGCCGUAACUAUAACGGUCCUAAGGUAGCGAAAUUCCUUGUCGGGUAAGUUCCGACCUGCACGAAUGGCGUAAUGAUGGCCAGGCUGUCUCCACCCGAGACUCAGUGAAAUUGAACUCGCUGUGAAGAUGCAGUGUACCCGCGGCAAGACGGAAAGACCCCGUGAACCUUUACUAUAGCUUGACACUGAACACUGGUCCUUGAUGUGUAGGAUAGGUGGGAGGCUUUGAAGCGUGGACGCCAGUCUGCGUGGAGCCAUCCUUGAAAUACCACCCUUUAAUGGCUGGUGUUCUAACGUGGGCCCGUUAUCCGGGUUGCGGACAGUGUCUGGUGGGUAGUUUGACUGGGGCGGUCUCCUCCUAAAGAGUAACGGAGGAGCACGAAGGUCAGCUAAUCCUGGUCGGACAUCAGGAGGUUAGUGCAAUGGCAUAAGCUGGCUUGACUGCGAGCGUGACGGCGCGAGCAGGUGCGAAAGCAGGUCAUAGUGAUCCGGUGGUUCUGAAUGGAAGGGCCAUCGCUCAACGGAUAAAAGGUACUCCGGGGAUAACAGGCUGAUACCGCCCAAGAGUUCAUAUCGACGGCGGUGUUUGGCACCUCGAUGUCGGCUCAUCACAUCCUGGGGCUGAAGUAGGUCCCAAGGGUAUGGCUGUUCGCCAUUUAAAGUGGUACGCGAGCUGGGUUUAGAACGUCGUGAGACAGUUCGGUCCCUAUCUGCCGUGGGCGCUGGAGAAUUGAGGGGGGCUGCUCCUAGUACGAGAGGACCGGAGUGGACGCAUCACUGGUGUUCGGGUUGUCAUGCCAAUGGCAUUGCCCGGUAGCUAAAUGCGGAAGAGAUAAGUGCUGAAAGCAUCUAAGCACGAAACUUGCCCCGAGAUGAGUUCUCCCUGACUCCUUGAGAGUCCUGAAGGAACGUUGAAGACGACGACGUUGAUAGGCCGGGUGUGUAAGCGCAGCGAUGCGUUGAGCUAACCGGUACUAAUGAACCGUGAGGCUUAACCUUACAACGCCGAAG
rnacentral:rRNA from 1 species